ACGCUCGACACCUACGGGAGGCAGCAGUGGGGAAUAUUGCACAAUGGGGGAAACCCGUGAUGCAGCGACGCCGCGUGAGCGAAGAAGUAUCUCGGUAUGUAAAGCUCUAUCAGCAGGGAAGAAAAUGACGGUACCUGACUAAGAAGCACCGGCUAAAUACGUGGCAGCAGCCGCGGUAAUCUGAGCGGGCUGGCAAGGC
rnacentral:rRNA from 1 species